GAUGAAGAACUUAGCGAAAUGCGAUAAGUAGUAUGAAUUGCAGAAUUCAGUGAAUCAUCGAAUCUUUGAACGCACAUUGCGCCCGCCAGUAUUCUGGCGGGCAUGCCUGUUCGAGCGUCAUUUCAACCCUCAAGCACAGCUUGGUGUUGGGACUCGCGUUAAUUCGCGUUCCCCAAAUUGAUUGGCGGUCACGUCGAGCUUCCAUAGCGUAGUAGUAAAACCCUCGUUACUGGUAAUCGUCGCGGCCACGCCGUUAAACCCCAACUUCUGAAUGUUGACCUCGGAUCAGGUAGGAAUACCCGCUGAACUUAAGCAUAUCAAUAAGCGGAGGA
rnacentral:misc_RNA from 1 species